rnacentral:sRNA from 1 species
AAACCCUGGUGUGUUCGGGUCCGCCGCAUCUCCCGGAUACAUGAGGGCCGAAUGGUCGGUCGUGGAUAGAGUGGCCUCCUCAGUGACCCACGGCCGACCAUUCUCCUU